rnacentral:lncRNA from 1 species
UCAGAAAACUUUUACCUGAUCUACGGACGUAGUCAUUAUAUUCGAAUGAUUUCAAUAUACAAGGAGAACUAGACUCGCUUUUUUCUAUCUUCCUAUCGUGACCAUUAUGUGUGAUAGAUUAGGGACAAAUGGGAGAUGAGUGAAGAUCUAUAAUCUCUCAAUAGUGUUACGUAUUCUCAUCUCUUUAUCUAUAUAUCCUUUUAUAGACUAUAGUAGAGGGAGUAGGAUAAGUAAUUAAGAGAGUCCCUCCUAUCAAAGUAUCUCUUGAGGAAUCCUACAUGAUGGUGUCAUGAGAGUAUCGUCAAUUGAUGAGUCGACCCGGUUGGUCUACUAUCGAAGGUACAAGCUCAUUCAUGUGUCUCUUUCUAGCUGAUGUGGAAGACUUUGUGAGGUAAGACCGCAUAAGCUAUCCGAUUGGAAGUCGUUCUGUUGGUGAGGACUUAGUUUCGGAUGGUUAGGUAAGUGAAUUGGGAUCUUUCUAGUUGUAAGGUUUCUCCCCGAGGGCUGGGUCAUUUAGGUGUCUUCGGGUGAUUGGCGAUUCUAUAUGACAGGCCGGUGCCGGGGGUUUCCAGCGCAUCGAUCCGGUCGAGGUAUGAUCUUGGGGUCUUCAUGCCGAGUGCAUGACUAGGGAGCAUGUAAGCUUGACCUAGGUGCAUCUCUCGGGUUUUCAUACUGAGGUACACGACUAAAGAGUGUGUAGGCUUGGCCUUGGUGUAACUCUCGGGGCUUCAUGCUGAAGUGCUUGGCUCGAGAGCGAGUCCUUUUUAACUUUACUCAUCUAAGGUGCCACUCUCGGGUCAUCAUGCCGAGAUACAUGGCUACGGAGUGCAUAGGCUCAGCCUAAGUGCAACACUUGGGGCAUCUCACCGAGAUGUAUGGCUAGGGAGCGUGUAGGCUCAGCUUAGGUAUAGCCCUCAAGGCUUCACGCCAAGCUACUUCGCUCGAGAGCAAGUCCUUUUUAGCUCUAUUCAUCCAAGGUGCCACCCUCGAGCCUUCAUGCCGAGAUGCAUGACUAGAGAACGCGUAUACUCGGCCUAGGUGUAACCCUUAGGGCGUCUUGCCGAGGUGCAUUGCUAGGGAGCACGUAUGCUUGGCCUAGGUGUAGCCCUCGGGUUUUUAUGCCGAGGUGGAUACCUAGGGAGCAUGUAGGCUCGACCAAGGUGCAGCCCUCGGGUCUUUAUGCUGAGAUGCACGACUAUGGAGUGCAUAGGCUCAACCUAGAUAUAGCCCUUGGGGCUUCUCACCAAGUGUACGACUAGGGAGCAUGCAAGCUCGGACUAGGUGCAUUUCUCGGGUCUUCAUGCCAAGGUGUACGGUUAGGGAGCACAUAGGCUCAACCUAGGUGUAGCUCUCAGGGCUUCUUAUUGAGUGCAUGGUUAGGGAGUCUGUAAACUUGGCCUAGGUGCAUCCCUCGGGUCUUCAUGCUGAGGUGCACAUCUAGGGAGCAUGUAGGCUUAGCAUAGGUGCAGCCCUCCAGGAGCUGAGCUUGGCUGCAUUGAGGUAGAGGAUCUAGCUCGUCUAGGGUCAGACUCAACUGCAUUGAAGCAGGAGUCCAUACUUAGUUGUGUCGAAGCAAGAGUCCAGACUCAUUUGAAGGUUCAACCCAACCGCAUUAAAGCAAGAGAUUGGAUCCACCCAGGGUCGGAUUCACUUGUGUUUCAGGCAGUUUUUGGUAUUGCGGGGCAUAUAUGGUGUGCCACCUUAUCUUGAUAGCAUACACCCCUUUCUAUGGGGUCCUCCUCCGUGGGUUUGAUUCACAGAGGGAUCUGAACUCCCCUUUUCCAUUUCUAGUGCUUCUAUAGUUGUGCUAGGGUAGGUGAUGCGAUCUUCGCUGGUCAUUGCUUGCAUGGCCCAUAGGUAUAUCGUUAUGUCAAACCGAUGCCUAUUAGACAAGGAGUUGCUUUUAUAUAGUAUUCUCUUGUUUUUCUUCUUCUAUUGUUGUUUCUUGUUGUUGGUUGCUAAAUUCUUCGGUGCAAACUAAGAUGUCCUCCUCCUCAAAUAAAACUCCGCCUUCUCCUUGAGGGUCGUCCUCUUCUAACGAUGACCUUCUGAUUGCCUUUAGUCCUCUUUCUCGAUACCAACGGGGUGCUGAAAUGUUGACCGCCUCCUCCCGAAAGGUAGUUCAAGUGAGCUCUUCAUUCAUGGGGAGUGAACCUUUUGAGACUUCUAUAGUCCCUUGGGACCUUGUGCGAAUGAAGGAGGUCCACGAAUGCAGUUCAUGGUGACCUUGCUAUAGUUAGAGGCAUUACACAAUUGCUUCCGGGUUCUAUCUGAUAGAAGAUAAGAUUUCCCCAACUAUAUGAGGAAAUCUCUCUAUUGAAAAUCCUUUAUUCUAUUGAGGGAAAUCCUUCCUCCUAAUCUAUAUGUAUAAAUAGGAGAGGGACAUGUUAAUGUAUUUAAGCUUUUUCACAUUUUCAAUAAAGCUUCUUCAAUAAUUGUUCUUAUCUUCUAUUAUUUUU